CUCUCUCUCUUUCCCUCUCCCCCACCCCACAUCUCCCCCCUCCAUCUGUGUAUAUAACAGUAUCUCCAUGCUUUCACACACACCACUCAGUUCAGCGUUGCAGAUGGGAUGGACACAGAGUGCAGGAGCAAACCACCAAAUAGUAAAUCAGUGUGACUGAGACACAUAAUACCACUCCUUCCCAGUGGCAGUGUCUAUGCAAAAUGGGUUGUGGCAAUUCCUCAGUCGCCAGCACCUCAGGAGGGGGACCUGCAGAAACCUCCAAAGAUUUGACAGAUGAGUCCUCACCAGACGAUGAGAAAAGAAGGAACUAUGGCGGGGUGUACGUAGGUCUACCAUCUGACAUGACCACCGUUGCAGGCAGCCAGUCCAAGUCCACAGACAAAAUACAGCCUCCAAUCGCUGUCCUUCGAUUAACCAUGGCUUUACAGUAAAAGAGACAACAUCAAGCAAAAAAGGAAAUACUGUACAUGAAAGUCCCUUGAAGACUACAUCUUUCUACCGAUGGACAGUUUUUGUUCUCCGUGUUCAAAGAAAACCCCCACGUCAUCUUCAAACAAAAACUAACAGAUAUAGAAGGGAAACAUUGACAUGCAUCACAGGACUAAAGCUACAAUAUUCAGAACAUACAGAGACAUUACAUUCCUACGUUGAGAGGAGGAUUACUGACUCAUCCUCACAACCCUGCCUCCGUAAGAGUGAAACAGACUGAAAGACCCUGGGGAAUCAGGCAGAUAUGAGGUCAGCCUGCUUGGGUCCUGAGGAAACUGCCUCAGAAUGGCACCGAGUAGACCCUCAAUAGAUGCCUUUGUCUGAGGAGUCUUUGCCCUUUCUGACCCUCACAGGAAGCCGGGCAGCAGCAGAGAAGUCGGGUGGGUACGGGACGACUGCGGAUAUUGGGACCAACAUUAUGGAAUCCGGGGAAAUGAUCUGGACUAGCUCCUUGUGUUUAGGAAGAGAUGUGACACACACAGCCCAGUCACACAGAGACACCUUCUCGACCGGCUCUGUAAACAUUUAAUCCAAGUGCAUAUAUUGUGGCUGGUGUAGAUAGAUGUUUUAUGUGGUGGGAGGGAUAGUGGACCCACACAGUGGCUCAAACACAAGCAGUGCUAUUCACUUUUAUGGAGUAUUUUAGGUCACCCAGUUUUCAUUUUCUUUUCAGUAUCAGAUACUGUAAAUAAUUUCAGAGAUUCAUGAAAACAACAUUCUAUAACCCAUUUGGAGAUUGUGUUGUGAUAUUUUCUAGUUGGUUGCUGCUAUUUCUUUUUAAACCAUUGCAUUUACUGUCUAAAUACAAAUUGACCUACUUUUGGUACCAAACGGAUGGGGGACCUCCUGUGGGUGUACUGGCUGGUACUGUAGCCUGACUGUACUGUAGCGAGCAUCUGUUGUGUGCGUCAUUCAUGUCUGAGAUUGUUAAGUGUUGUGUUGUGUUGUCAUUUAACCUGUGAAUCAUGCUAACAUGACAUCGUCAGUCUGUAUGGGGCUAAAGAUGCAUUGAGGAUACUACUCUUACAUUUCUUUACCCACAAAGGUCUGAACUGAUCUGAGAUCUGACGUCAUCAGAUUGUUAACAAUGCAUGCAUUAUUACUCCAGGUGCCAGCAGCUGAUCUCAGUGUUCCACAUACAGUAGCUCUUGUUGGCCAUUUUAGCAGCUGCAUCCAGAACUCGUUGUUUUUUACGAAGAGAUAAACUCUCCAACUGCAAUUUGUAAAAUGUUGUCUUUUCUAUUUGUAAAAUUCAAAAAUGAUUCCUUUUGAAAACGAAAUGUACAACUUUUAUUAUAACGGUUAAUUGGAAAGAUGAUCAGUCAAAAAGAAUCUGAACUACAUUGUUUAGCAUAGGUUUGCCUAAACAUAUUUGAAUCUAUAUUUCUCAUUAUGAUCAACUGUAUCAGUGAAUCUAGUUGGAAACCAUAACACAGGCAGCAUAUUCACACACCACAAUAUCUCCCCCAAAGCAUGAAUUAGAAGGGAAUAGAGAAUCCAUCCAAUGUCAUUUAUCUACAUGCAGUUCCUGUUCGUGAUUUAAUGAAUGUAUGAAUGUACAGCAUCUUCACCACCACGACCACAGAGGAACAGGGAAGUAGGCCAUGCUAACCAUAUGCUCACACACUUGAGAUUCAAGAGAUGUUUUAUUCUCUUCAAUACAUCAGUCCGAUUAUAUAUUCUCUACUCCACUCUACCUGGUUUGAGAUAAGAAUAUGGAAUAUACAUAAUAUUUAUAUGGAAUAUACAUAAUAUUUAUAUGGAAUAUAAAUGUAGAUUAUGAAUGCUCCCUGGCGUUCAACCAUCUACUCCGUAAUCUGUGCCAGGCCGCGUGUGAGGUUUAGAAAUGCGAUGGGUACCGAUUAAAGAGCACCCCACAGUUUCUGCUCUGCUACUACACGGCUACCACCGAAAAAUGAAUACAGCCCCUUUUCAUUGAUGUCUACAUUUCCUUUCUGUUGAGGCUCUUCCAGUUUCACCAUCAGAAUCCUCUGGCCUUUGGCUUUCACGGUGCACAGUGCAACGCAGUUCCCACUGGGCAAACACUAGUUGAAUCAACGUUGUUCCACGUCGUUGAAAUUAAUUGGACGUCUGUGCCCAGUGGGUCUGCCUUUUCAUCUGUUCUCUGCUCUAGCCAACUCCUCCACCCUUUACAGACAGUUGUACUGUAACACAAGGGUGAAUGUCACUGAGCUAAUCCUGCUUUAUUCAAUUAGGAAGACUGGGAGGGAAGAGGAUGAAAAAAGGGUAUUCAAAAGCCACACUGGGAAAGGAAAAGUUGCUACAGAAUAUCAACACAGGAGUUGAUAACCAAGCAUAGCUAGCUGUGUACAGAAUGAAUGUAGCUCUUAGGAGGAUGGAGAAAAGGUAUGGGAAAUUGUGUUAAAAAAGCAGCAUCCAUGGAACCCUGGUAUUUUUUACUGUAUUGGGGUUCCUUUAAGCAUUAAGGCAUGAGGGGGGGGCGGUAUAUUGGCCAUAUACCACAGUUACCUUAUUGCUAUUCUAAACUGGUUAUCAACAUAAUUAGAGCAGUAAAAAUAAAUGUUUUGUCAUACCCGUAGUAUACGGUCUGGUAUACCACUGCUGUCAGCCAAUCAGCAUUCAGGGCUCUAACCACCCAGUUUAUAUCAGCAUAUAGCUCAUGGAAGUCUCACUGGUAUACUGUUCAUGGUGCUGCACAUGAUUACGACGACAGGGGAAUUGAUUACUUUGGAGUCAUUUGAGGCUAAAGCAGCUGUGCUGGAGGCUUCUUAUUCUGGAUUUAUCUCCUUGUGUACAUGUGUCCAUAACACAUUUGGGAAAAGAGAAAACACAUGAGAAAACCACUGUAGAUGAUCACUUGAGAACCAAUUGAUGACUUUUUAUGCUAUUUACUACUGUAUGAGAUACUGUUCCUAAUCUUUGAUGCUCCUAACUUGUUCUGGGUCACUUUGUGUACAUACAGUACACCCUUAAACACAGUAAGAAGGAUCACAGCUGCUUUAGAGAGUCAUUCUUGUAUAUAACCCGACAUGCCCUGUAUUACUUGUCCUAUCACUGAUCUAUUUAUGAUUAAAGUAUUUUCUAUUGUCUGUGCA